rnacentral:rRNA from 1 species
UACGGAGGGGGCUAGCGUUGUCCGAAGUUACUGGGCGUAAAGCGCGCGUAGGCGGGUUGGUAAGUCCGCUGUGAAAGCCCGGAGCUCAACUCCGGAGGGUCGGUGGAUACUGCCAGUCUUGAAGGUGCUAGGGGGAGAUGGAAUUACUGGUGUAGCGGUGAAAUGCGUAGAUAUCGGUAGGAACACCAGUGGCGAAGGCGGUCUCCUGGGGCAUUCUUGACGCUGAGGCGCGAAAGCUGGGGGAGCGAACGGG